rnacentral:misc_RNA from 1 species
CGCACAUUGCGCCUUCUGGUAUUCCGGUAGGCAUGCCUGUCUGAGCGUCAGCAAAACCCUCAGCAAUAGCUGGUGUUGAGCAAGGAGUUCCGCUCCCUGCUUUAAAAGCUGAUGCCGCAAACUUUCUUGCAGUUGAUAGAGUUGGUGUUUACAUUUCUUCUAUGAGACUGUGGGAGGGGAGCGGCCAAACAAAAAGGUGUUCGCGCACUUUGAAAGUUUGACCUCAGAUCAGACAAGGAUACCCGCUGAACUUAA